UACAGAGGAGCCAAGCGUUGUCCGGAUUGACUGGGCGUAAAGCGCACGCAGGCGGUCGCGCGCGUGGGGUGUGAAAUCGUGGCCGCUUAACGGCCAGGCGCCAUCCCAUACGGCGCGACUGGAGGCUUGCAGAGGUCGGUGGAAUUGCCGGUGUAGUGGUGAAAUGCGUAGAGAGUCGGCAGGAACACCCAGGGGGAAACCAGCCGACUGGGCAAGUGCGUGACGCUGAGGUGCGAG
rnacentral:rRNA from 1 species